GACGAACGCUGGCGGUGUGCUUAACACAUGCCAGUCGAACGGAAAGGCCCUGCUUUUGUGGGGUGCUCGAGUGGCGAACGGGUGAGUAACACGUGAGUAACCUGCCCUUGACUUUGGGAUAACUUCAGGAAACUGGGGCUAAUACCGGAUAGGAGCUCCUGCUGCAUGGUGGGGGUUGGAAAGUUUCGGCGGUUGGGGAUGGACUCGCGGCUUAUCAGCUUGUUGGUGGGGUAGUGGCUUACCAAGGCUUUGACGGGUAGCCGGCCUGAGAGGGUGACCGGCCACAUUGGGACUGAGAUACGGCCCAGACUCCUACGGGAGGCAGCAGUGGAGAAUAUUGCACAAUGGGCGGAAGCCUGAUGCAGCAACGCCGCGUGCGGGAUGACGGCCUUCGGGUUGUAAACCGCUUUCGCCUGUGACGAAGCGUGAGUGACGGUAAUGGGUAAAGAAGCACCGGCUAACUACGUG
rnacentral:rRNA from 1 species